rnacentral:rRNA from 1 species
CCUACGGGAGGCAGCAGUGGGGAAUAUUGGACAAUGGGCGCAAGCCUGAUCCAGCCAUACCGCGUGGGUGAAGAAGGCCUUCGGGUUGUAAAGCCCUUUUGUUGGGAAAGAAAUCCAGCCGGCUAAUACCUGGUUGGGAUGACGGUACCCAAAGAAUAAGCACCGGCUAACUUCGUGCCAGCAGCCGCGGUAAUACGAAGGGUGCAAGCGUUACUCGGAAUUACUGGGCGUAAAGCGUGCGUAGGUGGUUAUUUAAGUCCGUUGUGAAAGCCCUGGGCUCAACCUGGGAACUGCAGUGGAUACUGGAUGACUAGAAUGUGGUAGAGGGUAGCGGAAUUCCUGGUGUAGCAGUGAAAUGCGUAGAGAUCAGGAGGAACAUCCAUGGCGAAGGCAGCUACCUGGACCAACAUUGACACUGAGGCACGAAAGCGUGGGGAGCAAACAGGAUUAGAUACCCUGGUAGUCCACGCCCUAAACGANGCGACAGAGUGUGGUGUGAUUGUGCGCAGUAUACGAGACGACGACGUACGUACGUCCGCCGCGGAGGACGGUCCGGCGAGACGUUAGUAACGUUAAAGGUUAAGUUAGUUACGGCGNGNGAGNGCGACGGACGACGACGAGGGAGGAGGAG